UACAGAGGGUGCGAGCGUUAAUCGGAAUUACUGGGCGUAAAGCGCACGUAGGUGGCGACGUAAGUCGGGUGUGAAAGCCCCGGGCUCAACCUGGGAAUUGCAUUCGAGACUGCAUUGCUGGAGUACGGAAGAGGAAGGCGGAAUUCCCGGUGUAGCGGUGAAAUGCGUAGAUAUCGGGAGGAACAUCAGUGGCGAAGGCGACUACCUGGCCCAUUCUUGACGCUGAGGCGCGAAAGCUAGGGGAGCGAACGGG
rnacentral:rRNA from 1 species